rnacentral:tRNA from 1 species
GCCGAAGUGGCGGAAUUGGUAGACGCACACGACUCAAAAUCGUGCGGAGCAAUCCUUGAGGGUUCGAUUCCCUCCUUCGGCACCA